rnacentral:rRNA from 1 species
GAUGAACGCUGGCGGCGUGCCUAACACAUGCAAGUCGAACGGAAAGACCCUGCUUUUGUGGGGUGCCCGAGUGGGGAACGGGUGAGUAACACGUGUGUAACCUGCCCUUGUCUUUGGGAUAACUUCAGGAAACUGGGGCUAAUAUCGGAUAGGAGAUCCUGCUGCAUGGUGGGGGUUGGAAAGUUUCGGCGGUUGGGGCUGGACGCGCGGCUUACGAGCUUGUUGGUGGGGUAGUGGCUUACCAAGGCUUUGACGGGUAGCCGGCCUGGGAGGGCGGUCGGCCACCAUGGGACUACGGUACGGCCCAGUCUCCUACGGGAGGCAACGGUGGGAAGUAUUGCACAGUGAGCGGGCGCGUGAUGCGGCGGCGCCGCGUGCGGGAAGACGGCCUUCUGGUUGUGAACCGCUUUCGCCUGUGACGAAGCGGUAGUGACGGUAAUGGGUAAAGAAGCACCGGCUAACUACGUG